GCUACCUGUGGAACGGACCAAUCAGAAUCAGCUCCAUUGGCCACGCGCUUCACAAAGGAACGCAAUUGCUUUCUGGAAACCGUGAACACUAAACGGUGGAUGUCAUGAGGACAGGAAACGUGCAAUGUGCAUGGGGAGCGAAGACAAGAUGAGGAGGAGGGAAGUAGACAAGACAGACUGGGGGCUGUCAGUGAGACGUUAACACUAAUUAAUAGUGAAUUAGUCUCAAAGUACAAAUAGGGCAAUUUAAGAGUUCAGUUCACAUUGUAUAUUAUUUUGUACAGUAUUGUGCAUUAGUCUUGGCUAAUCAGAAAAUGUGCAAAUGAUCAUAUAUUGGUGUAAAGCUGACAUCAUGUCUAUCAAAGUGUUUAGCUCUCCAGAUUUUUCUGGAGGACAGAAGAAAUUCUUGUUAGUUUUUCUUGUGUCACUGUUAAUUCGCAUGUAUUCUAACGCUAACGUUUCUUAAUCUGUUUUUCUAAGCAAAUAGACACACAGCACCCAGAUUAAUGGCUUUAAAACAUUCCCUCUGACUUCUGCGCAGUGCUGUACGUCCGCCGCGGAGACGAGGCGUCUCUGUGGAAAUGAGAAGUCCGGGUACCUCGCUCUUAAUCUGGACCUGUGUGGAGGAAAAAGAAAAAAAACUAAUGAAUGAUGAUCCAGAGUUUGACAAGGAAAGACCUGCAAGCUGAAACGGUUUUACCUGCUGCAUGCACUUGAACUCAUUCUCUUCCGCGUCGAUUGCGAUGGCCUCGUCUGCAGAGUCCAUGCGCUUGGCCAGUUUCUCCAGUUGCUUGUGGUACAACGCGAUCUCUUUGGGGGUGAAGUUCCCACCUUCUGAAAACAACCUAGGAGCAGAAGAGAGUCUGACAAAUCCCAAUAAAGAUGAAAG